rnacentral:lncRNA from 1 species
GGACAGAUGCGUCAAAUCGUCCAAUCAAUGGUCGGUCCAGAUGUUAUCACGUGUCGUCAUCUGAUAGAUCUUCGAUUUGUCCACCUUCAUCUCGACUGUUGAGGGAUCCUAUAUAAAGGGUCGCUCUCAGCCAAAUUUUUAUUUUUCAUUAUUUUUGGUGCUGGGAAUCUACCGGAUUGUUGCCCCAAAGUCCAAGGUUAUCGC